AUGUAGACUCCCUCUGGAGGCGGGUCGUGAAUGUCCUCCUUGUUGAAGCGCGUCACCAGGUUCUGCAGGAUCACACAGUCCAGCGACCAACCCUUGUGCUGGCGGGUCACUUCCUGUGGGUGUGAGGGAAGCCUUGGGGGUUGAAGAAGCCGGUGAUCCAGAAAGCCUUGGGCCGCCCGUAGGAGUACCAGCGGCGGAACUGUGAGUCUCGCUCCAUCAACUCUGUGAACCAGAACCCGAGCGUGCUGGACUCCCACGAAACCUGACAACAGUAUGGGGGUAAAAAUAAGCGCUCAGGGACCCGGGCGUCGUACAUUGCGUCCAGCAUGUCCUUGAGGGAGGUGCUCAUGAUGAUGGUCCCCUCGAUGGCCAGGUGGAGGUCCUGCAGGGUCUUCCGCACCACCUUCAACACCUGAACCAAUGACGUGUUACUCUCAGGACUCGGAAGUGCUCCUGCCUGAGGAAAAUGUUCAUGGGCAGUAUGGCGCCCAUCCUCUGCAGUGCUUCUCUGAUCUGCAAUGAGAGGGAAGAAUUCCACCAAACCUCACAAACCUCAACCAAACCUCAAAGAACUCAACCAAACCUCAAAGAACUCAACCAAACCUCAUAGACUGCAACCAAGCCUCCUCAACUCUCACCUCGUGCUGAAUGUAGUCUG